rnacentral:rRNA from 1 species
AAUCAACGCUGGCGGCGUGCCUCAGACAUGCAAGUCGAACGCGAAAGUUCCCUUCGGGGGGCGAGUAGAGUGGCGCACGGGUGAGUAACACGUAGGUAAUCUACCUUUGGGUGGGGAAUAACAGCCGGAAACGGCUGCUAAUACCGCAUAAUGCAGCGGCUCGACAUCGAGACAGUUGUUAAAGCGGGGGAUCGCAAGACCUCGCGCCUAAAGAGGAGCCUGCGGCGGAUUAGCUUGUUGGUGAGGUAAUGGCUCACCAAGGCAUCGAUCCGUAGCCGGCCUGAGAGGGCGGUCGGCCACACUGACACUGACAUACGGGUCAGACUCCUACGGGAGGCAGCAGUCGGG